rnacentral:rRNA from 1 species
ACCAGUGUGGCGGCCAAGCGUUCAUAACGACGUCGCUUUUUGAUCCUUCGAUGUCGGCUCUUCCUAUCAUAGCGUCAGACAACGCCCUGAGCAUGCGAUUGUUCACCGACCGACAGGGAAUGCGAGCUGGGUUUAGACUGUCGUGAGACAGGUU